rnacentral:rRNA from 1 species
UAGGGAAUCUUCGGCAAUGGACGAAAGUCUGACCGAGCAACGCCUCGUGAGUGAAGAAGGUUUUCGGAUCGUACAACUCUGUUGUUAGAGAAGAACAAGGACGUUAGUAACUGAACGUCCCCUGACGGUAUCUAACCAGAAAGCCACGGCUAACUACGUGCCAGCAGCCGCGGUAAUACGUAGGUGGCAAGCGUUGUCCGGAUUUAUUGGGCGUAAAGCGAGCGCAGGCGGUUUCUUAAGUCUGAUGUGAAAGCCCCCGGCUCAACCGGGGAGGGUCAUUGGAAACUAGGAGACUUCAGUGCAGAAGAGGAGAGUGGAAUUCCAUGUGUAGCGGUGAAAUGCGAAGAUAUAUGGAGGAACACCAGUGGCGAAGGCGGCUCUCUGGUCUGUAACUGACGCUGAGGCUCGAAAGCGUGGGGAGCAAACAGG